CAUGACUGGGGUGAAGUCGUAACAAGGUAGCGCUAGGGGAACCUGGCGCUGGAUCACCUCCUUAUACGAUGAU
rnacentral:rRNA from 2 species